rnacentral:rRNA from 1 species
GACGAACGCUGGCGGCGUGCCUAAUACAUGCAAGUAGAACGCUGAAGAGAGGAGCUUGCUCUUCUUGGAUGAGUUGCGAACGGGUGAGUAACGCGUAGGUAACCUGCCUGGUAGCGGGGGAUAACUAUUGGAAACGAUAGCUAAUACCGCAUAAAAUGGAUUAUCGCAUGAUAAUCCAUUGAAAGGGGCAAAUGCAUCACUACCAGAUGGACCUGCGUUGUAUUAGCUAGUUGGUGGGGUAACGGCUCACCAAGGCGACGAUACAUAGCCGACCUGAGAGGGUGAUCGGCCACACUGGGACUGAGACACGGCCCAGACUCCUACGGGAGGCAGCAGUAGGGAAUCUUCGGCAAUGGACGGAAGUCUGACCGAGCAACGCCGCGUGAGUGAAGAAGGUUUUCGGAUCGUAAAGCUCUGUUGUAAGAGAAGAACGAGUGUGAGAGUGGAAAGUUCACACUGUGACGGUAUCUUACCAGAAAGGGACGGCUAACUACGUG